UAUCAACUUGGCAGAUAAAUGCAUUAGAUUUAGGAUCUAUUUAUGAGGAUACCUUAGUUGAUAG
rnacentral:tRNA from 2 species